CAAGUGGUGGGAUUAGAGGUAUGUACCACCAUACCUGCUGAGAAUUUUUAAAUGAUUGCAAAUAAUGAGGGGUAAAAUAGCCCUUACAGUAGAAGGAAUAGAGGAUACAAAUGCUUGAGGCAUAAAAGAGCCUGAGAGGCCAAAGUUAGAGGGAAGCACAGUGAAGGACAAGAUAGAAGAGCAGGAGAUGGCUUUGUGCAUUCUCUUAAUAUAAUGAGUAUUUUGUUUUUUAUUCAAGAACAAUCAAAAUGCUGAAUGAGUUAAGCUCAAUGACAUAGUCUGAUUAUGCUUCAGAAAUAUUGCUCUGGCUACAUUCCAGGGGAAGAGUUUUGAGAGGCCAAGAGUAUAGGUGAAGACUAGUCAGGGACAAAUGCAAUAAUCUUACUAACAGAGAAUGGGAUCCAGGAUUGUGUUAGUGCUGUAAGAAUGGAAAAAAGUAGAAAUAUUAGAGAGAAAUUUAAUAGUUGUACUGACAUUUGACCUAAGCAAGACAGCCCUUUCUCUAAAAUCUAAUGCUUUAGAAGACUCUCUCUGGUCUCUGCCAGCUAUAUUCUGCAUCAGAAGGCAAAGGGUUCACAAAAGCAAGGGUGUGUAUUCACCAAACCCACUCUUCUUCUUCCUCUAGGUCAUUAUCUAGGCAGCCUGACUCUGCAAUUUUCUAUCCAAAUAGCCCUGAGUCUCUUCUAAGGCCUGAGAGCUUACAUGAAUGUAUCUUAGAGUAGACAGACAAUAUCAAUUAUACAUUUACACCUAAGCCUGCACAGUGGCCAGAGGCAACUGUUUAGAGGGGCAAGAACAGAGCUAGAACAUGAGGAAUGAGGUUUCCACAGAAGGGGAGUGGCCAAAAAUAUGGUGAAUGUUUAAAUUUUUUAAAUUUUUUGACAGUAAAAGAUACGUUGCCAUUAAUUUCUCUCAGAAAACUCCUCCUUACUUCAAACACACUUAUCCCAGCAUUCUUUCUGAAGCAGUUCUGGAAGUACUCCUUCAUGAGUGUCUUCACAAGGUACAGUAAAAAAUACAGCUAACACCAUUGCCAAGUGGCAUCUGACAGAAAGGUGGGCUUGUAAAAACAUUAGUGUGUUCUUUCCAUUUUAUUCACUAAAUCUGGCACCAUGUGACUUCUUGUCCUUUCCUAGACAAGUGGGAAAAAUCAAGACAAUGUUAUGCUAAGAAGCACAAGGGAAGAAAAUGUUUUAAAGGACAAAGAUAAAUAGUCACAAAUAUUACUGAUAAUGAUAGUGGAUAAGAAUUGAAAAACCAUCUGUUGCAUGAGUGUUAUUGAUAUUCUUAAAAGAGCUGCUUUUAGCAGAAUGAUGAGACCAAAAGCCAGACUACAACAGAUACAGAAGCACGUGGAAGGUGAAGAAUAAGAAACUGGCAUUGAUAAUUCUCCCAAGAACUUUGAGUGUGAAGGGGAAGCUGAAGAGGAUUGGCAGCCAAUGAAAAGUUCUGCUUCUGAGCAUUUAGAAGUCAAUGAAUAAAACUACACUGAGAGGCAGAUAUUCAAUACGCAAGAGAGAAGAAGCAGUUGAAUUCUUGAAAAAGUUGAAGGGUAAUGAAUUACUGGGAAAUGCUGUGAAAAACAAUCCCCCAAAGCUGUGGUGAAAUCAAUCAGAGGCCCGAUUGGCCUCUUAGAAACCAUUAAAUAAAACUGAGAACUUAUCAAAUGAAAAGAGGAAAUUGAGCAAAAAAUCUGAAGGUGCAAGCUAAAGGGAAAUUACAAGACAACCCAAGCAUCAAGCAGAAAAAGGGAAGCAGCUGAGAAAUGAAAACUUUUCAGAAUCUUAAUCAUUUGAUGAACUUGAGAUGACAAAUGAAAGCUCUUUUAAAACACUGAGAAUUCAGCAAAUUGGUAAGAUACAAGAUGCCACUAGAUGAAAGGUUUACACAAUUAGUAUCUGAUAAAUGCUCAUCAAUGAGAAGGGCAGCCAGAUUUCAAUUGGAACAAGGAGAUAUAAAGAAGAGGUAAGAAUAAGGCAGUAUAUAAAGGUUGGGAGGUGAAACCAUGCUACUGAACAAAGCAGGAAAACAAGAAGGAAUGAGAACUUAGAGAUGACUUGAGCUUUAAUCUUGUUCACCCACAUCUCAAAAGGUAAAUUUGAAUAGUCUCAACCUACAAUGUUUGUUUUCUUCUUUUACAGAACUUAGAUA